UAAGGAAUAUUGCUCAAUGGGAGAAAUCCUGAAGCAGCAACGCUGCGUGGAGGAUGAAGGGUCUAUGACUUGUAAACUCCUGUAAAGAAGGAAAAAAUUCCCAUUUGAUGGGAGAUGAUGGUACUUCUGGAGUAAGCCCCGGCUAACUACGUGCCAGCAGCCGCGGUAAUACGUAGGGGGCAAGCGUUGUCCGGAUUUACUGGGUGUAAAGGGUGCUCAGGCGGAUUUGUAAGUCAGAGGUGAAAUCUUACAGCUUAACUGUGAAACUGCCUUUGAUACUGCAAGCCUAGAGUAUGGAAGAGAGUGAUGGAAUAUCUGGUGUAGCAGUGAAAUGCGUAGAUAUCAGAUAGAACACCAAUGGCGAAGGCAGUCACUUGGUCCAUUACUGACGCUAAAGCACGAAAGCGUGGGUAGCAAACA
rnacentral:rRNA from 1 species